rnacentral:rRNA from 1 species
AACGACUCUCGGCAACGGAUAUCUCGGCUCUCGCAUCGAUGAAGAACGUAGCGAAAUGCGAUACUUGGUGUGAAUUGCAGAAUCCCGUGAACCAUCGAGUCUUUGAACGCAAGUUGCGCCCCAAGCCUUCUGGCUGAGGGCACGUCUGCAUGGGUGUUACAAA